rnacentral:rRNA from 1 species
UACGGAGGGUGCAAGCGUUAUCCGGAAUCACUGGGUUUAAAGGGUGCGUAGGCGGCUAAAUAAGUCAGAGGUGAAAGCUUGCAGCUUAACUGCGAAAUUGCCUUUGAUACUGUAUAGCUUGAAAGGAGCUGACGUCAGCAGAAUGUGGCAUGUAGCGGUGAAAUGCAUAGAUAUGCCAUAGAAUACCAAUUGCGAAGGCAGCUGGCUGGGCUUACUUUGACGCUGAGGCACGAAAGCGUGUGGUUCGAACAGG